UACGGGGGGUGCGAGCGUUGUCCGGAUUCACUGGGCGUAAAGGGUGUGUAGGUGGCGCCGUAAGUCGGGUGUGAAAUUUCGGAGCUUAACUCCGAAACUGCAUUCGAUACUGCGGUGCUUGAGGACUGGAGAGGAGACUGGAAUUCAUGGUGUAGCAGUGAAAUGCGUAGAGAUCAUGAGGAAGACCAGUGGCGAAGGCGGGUCUCUGGACAGUUCCUGACACUGAGACACGAAGGCCAGGGGAGCAAACGGG
rnacentral:rRNA from 1 species